ACAUCAUCCAUUUGCCCUCUAGGCUCACUGUAUCCUCCUUUCCAUUCUGCUCUCUGUCAGAGGGAUUACAUCACUAGGCUCCCCUGUCCUCUGCCUUCUGGUUGAGGUCAGCCAAUGAAGAACCAUGACAGAUCAGAGGGAGGUAGCAGAGUGAGAUCAGAAUAUUCAUCGUCCUGGUUCUCUACCUCUAGGUCACCUUGGAUUGGCUGUGUUCCUCAAUAGAAGGCUAUUUCUUUCCAGAUGAGAAACCUGAGACUCACAGACACAAAGUGGUAACUGGUUUAAGAACAGGAAUCCAGGCCAAUCUCACUCUAAAACCAUGCUUUCUCUAAUACACCAAUUUUCAUCUUAAUUCUCAAUGAGAAUAAAAAUGUACAAAAUAUCAA